rnacentral:lncRNA from 1 species
GUCUCUUCUGCUGUUUUGAAAUCAUGAAUGAUGAAUUUGAUUUACAGAGCAUGAAAAUGUUGAAAGUAAGAGCUAUGCCCUCGAGGACAAAUUGAAGCAGAAGGGUAUUUUCAAUUCCAUCACUCCAAGAACUGAUAGACCCCAGAAACAUCUGAAACCAUUCAAUGGGAAGCUGAAUCGUAUGAUGAUUUUGAUGAUGACCUUGUAAAUGCUG